UCUCAUUUAGCUUCUGCUUCAUCUGCUGGAGCUUCUGUGCUGUGUUAGCUUUCCUAUCCUCUCGCAGUCGUUUUCGGACAGCACUUAAAGAAAAAAAGGAAAAAUAAGAAAAAGCCUUCUUCCAAGGCCUCUGUUGCAUACGCUGGACCUCUGGGUAACUACCUCCUCCAUAUCAUCCUUCAAUGAUCCCUUUUCACAUUUCUCCUGGAUGAUGAUACUGUGAAGAUGCUGGUUUAUACUAUUCAUAAUAGCACCAAAAUGAGGAAGUAAGCUUGUCUUGUACAGUCCUACAAUGUUCAGCAGUUUCUUGUCAUCUCACUCUCUUUCUCCAUGUGUCUACACUGUGCUGUUACCUUUCUUGGCUCCAAAACAUAGAUUAUUAUGUGCAAGAACUGCCUAAAAACAACCAGGGUUAUUGAUGCCAUUGAUAUCUGUUAAUUCAUCUAAGUCCCAUUAGCCUACAGAUCUACUGUAGAUAAGGCAGUUCUUCAUAAAGCAGAAAUUCACUUUGCUUGGAGCAGUACUCUGAAACAAGAUGGAAGGAAAAAAAAUAAAUGAAAAUAAAAAUAAAAUUGGUAUGCUAGGUAUUUGUCCUAAUGAUGACUUCUUUGAAGUCUUUCUUGCAUGAAAAAAGUUUAUGCAUAAGAAAACCUGCAAGUAACAGAAGGUAAAAGGAAGGAAAAGAAUUGUUGCCAAAAAUAAGGACACCGAAUACCUUGGGGGAAAAAAAAAAAGCAGUCACUUUAAAUGUCUGCAAUUAGAAAAAUGAACUGUAAAUUGACUCUUUGCAAAACGAGUGCCAGAUUGUCAUCUGUGGAACAAAUUCGAGACUAACCUAAAAAAAAAAAUACUCCUCAGAAACAGAUGUCAAAACCAUAGC